AAGAGAUAUGAUGAUGUUUAUCCAUCAAUUCUGCAAUAGAAUGAUGAUUACUAACAUGCACUACCAUCUGAUCUCUU
rfam:Glycine max cultivar Williams 82 chromosome 3, whole genome shotgun sequence.